rnacentral:rRNA from 1 species
CGACGUGAGGAACCUGCCUCAAAGAGGGGGACAACAGUUGGAAGCGACUGCUAAUACCGCAUAAGCCCACAGCUCGGCAUCGAGCAGAGGGAAAAGGAGUGAUCCGCUUUGAGAUGGCCUCGCGUCCGAUUAGCUAGUUGGUGAGGUAAUGGCCCACCAAGGCGACGAUCGGUAGCCGGACUGAGAGGUUGAACGGCCACAUUGGGACUGAGAUACGGCCCAG